rnacentral:lncRNA from 1 species
GCCGCCGCCAUGGCCCGCUCCUCCUCGGACCAUAGCCUCCCCAUCACCAUUAAAGCAACCCUCUUCCUCCUCCCUCCUCCCUCCUCCCUCCUCAAUAGUCAAUAGUUAAUUCCUCCCCCUCCACCACUCACAAUCAAACCCUAAUCCGACCUUCUAACUACGACUGUAUCCGGCGGGGGGUAAUUAUUAAGGAAUAGCUUAAAAGAGGAGACGAAAUGGAAUCGGAGGGGGGCUAGAGUCAUUCGUUUGAGGAUCUCUUUUUCCGCAAGGUGUUACUUGUUAGGGGGCGGGCUAGGGUUUAAUCUCGCCUCCUCCUCCUCCUCCUCCUCUUCCUCCUCUUCCUCCUACUCGCGUUUCGCGUAAAAUUCGUGGAAACGAGGCGAGGCGGAGGAGUGCGUUAGGCGGAACCAAGUCGGCGAGGGCUUGGAUUUAAAUACGCGUGUCAGCACCUCGCUCCUCCUCGAACCACUACAAUACACCGCACCGACCGCCAGUUAUCCUUAGACCCGGUCUACAGACCCCGAGGAGCAUCGAGCGGAAUCAGUAGCUUUUGGAGGCGGUUCGAAAAUGACGUGGUCCACCGGGUACAAACAACACUGUGGCGCUGCGAGCGACUGGCGAGCCGCGUGCUCGCCCACUAGCGUUUACACCGAGCCGAUCCGCGCUGUGGAGUGUGGACCGAAUAUGGUUUUACAUGGGCUUAUUUGGGUCCUACUUCGCAGAUGGGCCCCAGUCCUGUGCGACGGUUACAUAUCACGUUUGUUGGGGUCCCACAGGUCAUUUUCACAAUUUUGAUUCGAGCGCGUUACCCCGUAGAUUUUUGGGCCGCUGCACAUGUUCGUGAGCCGUUGGUGCGCGUUACAUUGUAGAUUCAUGCGGCAUCGUACGCCAGUUGGUGAGCUUGUCUUUAAAAAAAAAAAAAAAAACACAUUGUGCGCAUGCAUAAUAUAAAAUAUAGUUGUGUUGAAAAUUUGGUACUUCUUCUUAAACAUAUUGAGAUUCUGUAACAGAAACAUUGAAUCAAAUUUUUACUAUAAAUCUGUCUCCUCAAAUAUGAUAUAAUUAUAAAAAAAAAUAAAAUAAUAUACGAAUAAAAUAAGAUUUACUAAAUAAAAAAAAAUUAUAUCUGAAUCCUCUUCUGUAACAGAGCAAUGUCAAUCUUUUUAAAUCUAUCGUAUCUGUUUCUCGUCUUUUAUAAACCAAAAAAACUACUCUUUUUUUUUUUUUUUUUUUUUUUUUUUUUUUUCUCCUCCCUUNGCCCGGGGCCCCAACACCGCCGCCGCCAUGGCCCGCUCCUCCUCGGACCAUAGCCUCCCCAUCACCAUUAAAGCAACCCUCUUCCUCCUCCCUCCUCCCUCCUCCCUCGUCAAUAGUCAAUAGUUAAUUCCUCCCCCUCCUCCACCGCUCACAAUCAAACCCUAAUCCGACCUUCUAACUACGACUGUAUCCGGCGGGGGGUAAUUAUUAAGGAAUAGCUUAAAAGAGGAGACGAAAUGGAAUCGGAGGGGGGCUAGAGUCAUUCGUUUGAGGAUCUCUUUUCCCGCAAGGUGUUACUUGUUAGGGGGCGGGCUAGGGUUUAAUCUCGCCUCCUCCUCCUCCUCCUCUUCCUCCUCUUCCUCCUACUCGCGUUUCGCGUAAAAUUCGUGGAAACGAGGCGAGGCGGAGGAGCGCGUUAGGGCGGAACCAAGUCGGCGAGGGC